AACCGAACAAGUAAAGAAAGAAAGAGUGUUUUUGAAGCUGAGCCUGGCUGUAGCCGGAGAAUUUUGGCGUUUCCUUGAUGAGACUCAACCAGUGCUCGAUGGACGCUCACUCUGACUCUCACAGCAACCACAUGAAGUGUUGUAACAACAGAGGUGAAUUGAGAGAAUCAGGUGAAUUUAUACGCAGGAAAAGCUCGCGCCGUUCUGGUGCCCAGGUCUGUGAGUUCUCACGGGCACCGUCGUCGUCGCGUGACCACCACCGCCGUGGAGAUCCAGAACGCCUCCAUGGCCCCGAAGCUCUGCUUGUGCCACCGCGUGAUCAGACUCUGUCCCCAGGCGCAGACGGUGUCCCCUGGCCUGGGUUCUGCCGCUGAAGUUGUGCCUCUUCCAGGGUGUCGCACAGCGGCAUCGGCCGCCUGCAGCUCCUGGCUCCCAGGUGCCUUCACUCCGCAGAGCGCAGAGGAACCUGGUCCCUGCUGUUGCGUCUGUCGCUGCUCUGUUCCUUCCUGUUGCUGGGUCAGCCUGUGGUGUGGACCCACCACAGUGUAUUUAUCCACACCCACACAUUCGGGCUGUUUCCGGUUUGGGGCAAUUGUUAAUAAAGCCACUAUAAACAUU